UUCCUGGAGGAUGGACUGGUUGGAUCUUCUCGCAGUCCAAGGCACUCUCAGAACUUCCCUCCAGCACCACAGUUCAAAAGCAUCUAUCUUCCUUCGCUCAGCCUUCCCUAUGGUCCAGCUCUCACAUCCGUAGCGACAUAAAAAGGAGAAGGUUGCAUGUCUCCCUAGACUUCGUAUUCAGAAAACAUACAGCAGAAGAGAGGCAGCUCUUUUAGGAGGGAUGAACCUGCAUCUGCAACUCAUGUUCCUCAGCCUGCUGUGUCUUUAUGCACAGGCUCAGGCACUUAAAAACCCCAAACAAUAUGAGGAGUGGAAGGCACUGGACCAGCCAAAGAACAGAGAUCUGUUUCUUCGUGCCCUGCAGUCAUAUCUCAGCACUAAAGGCAUCAACGUGGGGAGAACUGCUCCAGUGUUUGUCUGGGUCUCAAUGAAUCACAGCAACAUCAGGAUGGAUGAGGCACAGGAAGAGCAAGAUUUGGUGGUCCAGGAGCCGGAAGCAAAUGAAUGAAUAGACAAGAACAACAGGUGUCUUGCUGAUGAUGACCACCUUCGUUUUGCUGCUUUGGUGUUGCACUGUGGCUUUAAAAAAGAAAGAAUUGUUAAUGAUUUCAUAUCCCUUCACCCAUCCUAAGCAAGUUCUUCGUAAACCCAGUUCAUUUAAGAGCCCAUGUGAUAUAAUGGUUACAGUGCCAAACCAGGAUCAUGAGAGACCCUACAAUAAGUUCCAACUCGGUGUGAACCUUGUUGCUGUACCUUGGACAAAUCACUAUCUUUCAGACUAUCCUACUUCACAAGUGUUAAAAUUCAAAGACAUAAUUGUGUUGUUUGGCAUUGGUAUGCAAAGGGAUAAUGAAAC